GCAGCAGCCACGGUAAAACAGAGGGUGCGAGCGUUAAUCGGAUUUACUGGGCGUAAAGCGUGCGUAGGCGGCUUCUUAAGUCGGAUGUGAAAUCCCUGAGCUUAACUUAGGAAUUGCAUUCGAUACUGGGAAGCUAGAGUAUGGGAGAGGAUGGUAGAAUUCCAGGUGUAGCGGUGAAAUGCGUAGAGAUCUGGAGGAAUACCGAUGGCGAAGGCAGCCAUCUGGCCUAAUACUGACGCUGAGGUACGAAAGCAUGGGGAGCAAACAGGAUUAGAUACCCCUGUAGUCCCUGUCUCUUAUAC
rnacentral:rRNA from 1 species